GACGGAGGGUGCAAGCGUUGUUCGGAAUCACUGGGCGUAAAGCGCGUGUAGGCGGUGCGGUAAGUCGGAUGUGAAAUCCCGAGGCUCAACCUCGGAACUGCGUUCGAAACUGCCGCGCUAGAGUACGGGAGAGGGAAGUGGAAUUCCUGGUGUAGAGGUGAAAUUCGUAGAUAUCAGGAGGAACACCGGUGGCGAAGGCGGCUUCCUGGACCGAUACUGACGCUGAGACGCGAAAGCGUGGGGAGUAAACAGG
rnacentral:rRNA from 1 species